rnacentral:rRNA from 1 species
UCCCGUUUAUCCUGCGGGAGAUCGCUGCUAUUGGGAUUCGACUAAGCCAUGCAAGUCCAGGGGGUCUUCGGACCACCGGCGGAAUGCUCAGUAACACGUCGAUAACCUACCCUUAGAUUUGGGAUACCCUUGGGAAACUGAGGUUAAACCCGGAUAGGGGAUUAAAACUGGAAUGUUUUUUCCCUUAAAGGCAACGUCUAAGGAUGGGUCGGCGGCCGAUUAGGCUGUUGGUGGGGUAAAGGCCCACCAAAACCCAAGAUCGGUAGGGGCCGUGAGAGCGGUAGCCUCGAGAAGGGUACUGAGGUACUGACCCUAGCCCUACGGGGUGCAGCAGGCGCGAAACCCUUACAAUGCACGAAAGUGUGAUAAGGGAAUCCCAAGUGCUUAUGCUUUGCAUAGGCUUUUGCCAAGAUUAAAACUCUUGGCGAAUAAGUGGUGGGCAAGACCGGUGCCAGCCGCCGCGGUAACACCGGCGCCACAAGUGGGGAUCAUGUUUAUUGGGCCUAAAGCGUCCGUAGCCGGUUAAGUAAAUCUUUUGUGAAAUCGUUGCGCUUAACGUAACGGCGGGCAGAAGACACUGCUUAACUCGAGACCGGGAGGAGUCAGAAGUAUGCUUGGGGGAGCGGUAAAAUGCUAUAAUCCUUUGCAGACUACCAGUGGCGAAGGCGUCUGACUAGAACGGAUCUGACGGUGAGGGACGAAAGCCAGGGGAUCAAUCCGGAUUAGAUACCCGAGUAGUCCUGGCCGUAAACGCUGCGAGCUAGGCGUUGCACAUUCUCCGUGAAUGUGCAGUGUCGAAGCGAAGGUGUUAAGCUCGCCGCCUGGGAAGUACGGUCGCAAGACUGAAACUUAAAGGAAUUGGCGGGGGAGCACCACAAGGGGUGCGGCGUGCGGUUUAAUCUAACUUAACGCAGAGAAUCUCACCAGGAGCGACGGCAGGAUGAAAGACAGUCUGAAGGGCUUUCUUGACGAGCCGAGAGGUAGUGCAUGGCCGUCGUCAGCUCGUGCUGUGAAGUGUCCUCUUAAGUGAGGCAACGAGCGAGACCUGUACCUACAAUUGCUAGCGAGUCCAUCGGACGAUCGAGCACAUUGUGUGGACUGCCUUGGAAACAAGGAGGAAGGUGCAGGCAACGGUAGGUCUGUAUGCUCCGAAUCCCCUGGGCAACACGCGCGCAACAAUGGAAGGUACAAUGGGAUGCGACUCCGAAAGGAGCAGCUAAUCCUCGAAAACCUUUCUUAGUCCAGAUCGAGGGUUGUAACUCACCCUCGUGACGACGGAAUCCCUAGUAAUCGGACGUUAUCAUCGUCCGGUGAAUAUGUCCCUGCUCCUUGCACACACCGCCCGUCAAACCAACCGAGCAGGGUUUAGAUGAAACUUAGUUUCUUGAUUAAGCUGAAUCUAAGCUCAGUAAGGUGGGUUAAGUCGUCACAAGGUA